GUGACCCUGUAGCGCAAUGGAUAGCGUGUUGGACUUCUAAUCCAAAGGUCGUGGGUUCGAAUCCUGCCUGGUAUA